rnacentral:rRNA from 1 species
AUUGAACGCUGGCGGCAGGCCUAACACAUGCAAGUCGAGCGCGCGGCGGACGGGUGAGUAAUGUAUGGGGCUCUGCCCGAUAGAGGGGGAUAACUACUCGAAAGAGUGGCUAAUACCGCAUACUCUUGGAGCGGCCGAUAUAGGAUUAGCUCGUUGGUGGGGUAAAGGCUCACCAAGGCAGCGAUCCGUAGCUGGUCUGGGAGGACGACCAGCCACACGGGGACUGACACACGGCCCAGACUCCUACGGGAGGCAGCAGUGGGGAAUUUUGGACAAGGGGGGCAACCCUGAUGCAGCCAUCACGCGUUGAUGAUGAAGGCCUGCGGGUUGUAAAGUACUUUUGGCAGAGAAGCGGGAUCUGCAGAAUAAGCACCGGCUAACUACGUGCCAGCAGCCGCGGUAAUAC